AUUUAACGCUGCCGGCAGGCCCAACACAUGCAAGUCGAGCGGAGCGGCGGACGGGUGAGUAAUGCCCAGGCAUCUGCCUGGUCGUGCGUGAUAACGUCCGGAAACGCGCUCUAAUACCUCAUCCUAUCAGAUUUGCCUACGUCGGAUUGGCUAGUUGGUGGGGUAAAGGCCUACCAAGGCGACGUACCGUAACUGGUCUGAGAGGAUGAUAAGUAACAAUGGAACUGAUACACGGUCCAGAAUACUACGGGAGGCAGCAGUGGGGAAUAUUGUACAAUGGGCGAAAGCCUGAUCCAGCCAUGCCGCGUGUUAGAAGAAGGUCUUCGGAUUGAAAAGCACUUUAGGUAGGGAAGCGUUACCAACAGAGUAAACACCGGCAAACUUCAUGCCAGCAGCCGCGGUAAUAC
rnacentral:rRNA from 1 species